rnacentral:rRNA from 1 species
CAAUAGCGUAUAUUAAAGUUGUUGCAGUUAAAAAGCUCGUAGUUGGAUUUCUGGUGGGAGCGAUCGGUCUGGCGCUUAGCGCGAGUACUUGCAUCGUCUCCGGCCAUCCUUGGGGAGAGUCUGUCUGGCAUUAGGUUGUCGGGCAGAGGAUCCUCAUCGUUUACUGUGAAAAAAUUAGAGUGUUCAAAGCAGGCUUAUGCCGUUGAAUAUAUUAGCAUGGAAUAAUAAGAUAGGACUUUGGUACUAUUUUGUAGGUUUGCGCACCAAAGUAAUGAUUAAUAGGGACAGUUGGGGGUAUUCGUAUUCCGUUGUCAGAGGUGAAAUUCUUGGAUUUACGGAAGACGAACUACUGCGAAAGCAUUUACCAAGGAUGUUUUCAUUAA